rnacentral:rRNA from 1 species
UACAGAGGGUGCAAGCGUUAAUCGGAAUUACUGGGCGUAAAGCGUGCGUAGCCGGUUAUGUAAGUCAGACGUGAAAUCCCUCGGCUUAACCGGGGAACUGCGUCUGAUACUGGAUGGCUUGAGAUUGGGAGAGGGAUGCGGAAUUCCAGGUGUAGCGGUGAAAUGCGUAGAUAUCUGGAGGAACACCGGUGGCGAAGGCGGCAUCCUGGACCAACACUGACGCUGAGGAGCGAAAGCCAGGGGAGCAAGCGGG